rnacentral:rRNA from 1 species
GAUCCUGGCUCAGGAUGAACGCUGGCGGCGUGCCUAAUACAUGCAAGUCGAGCGAAUGGAUUGAGAGCUUGCUCUCAAGAAGUUAGCGGCGGACGGGUGAGUAACACGUGGGUAACCUGCCCAUAAGACUGGGAUAACUCCGGGAAACCGGGGCUAAUACCGGAUAAUAUUUUGAACUGCAUGGUUCGAAAUUGAAAGGCGGCUUCGGCUGUCACUUAUGGAUGGACCCGCGUCGCAUUAGCUAGUUGGUGAGGUAACGGCUCACCAAGGCAACGAUGCGUAGCCGACCUGAGAGGGUGAUCGGCCACACUGGGACUGAGACACGGCCCAGACUCCUACGGGAGGCAGCAGUAGGGAAUCUUCCGCAAUGGACGAAAGUCUGACGGAGCAACGCCGCGUGAGUGAUGAAGGCUUUCGGGUCGUAAAACUCUGUUGUUAGGGAAGAACAAGUGCUAGUUGAAUAAGCUGGCACCUUGACGGUACCUAACCAGAAAGCCACGGCUAACUAAGG